UAUCCUGUAAGACUAGUAUCCUUGAGGGAUCUUCAAUAGGUUUGAUAGUUGGUUCAUUAAUUGAGGUUUUUUUCCCUCUUGUUUCUCUUUUCAGACUCAAACUGUUUACCCUGGCAUCAAUUUUGUUCCUCCAGUACCCAGUGCUUGACUUCACUCUCUGUGCUCAGCGGGGUGGACAGCAGGGCCUCCUAAAGAGCUAGCAGCAUCCUUAGUCUACACCAUCUGAACUCCCCCUUUUGCCCCACCAUCUACCCCCAUGGACCUCUUCCAUCAAGAACAGAUCAAGUACUACCAUUUCAAAGGACCAGUGGUGAUGCACACAUGUUGCCCACCUCCUAACGGAGAGGCAAUGGACUCAAGGCGCAGAAUGGGACAUACAAUU